CCUGGACAUGGAGCUGCUCAACGAGAAUGAUAGCUACAGCCUGUCCUGCCAGCUGGAGCCCCAGACCUAGUUGGCCAGCAGAAUACUCAAGGCCAAGAAGUUCCGGCCAUCAUCAAUGUCAGGGCCUGGGAGUUGUGGUGUGGUUCUGUCGCUUUCUGUAGGCAUGUAAGUGAGACACAG